rnacentral:rRNA from 1 species
UACGUAGGGUGCAAGCGUUAAUCGGAAUUACUGGGCGUAAAGCGUGCGCAGGCGGCUUUGCAAGACAGAUGUGAAAUCCCCGGGCUUAACCUGGGAACUGCGUUUCUAACUGGCAGGCUUGAGUGUGGCAGAGGGGGGUGGAAUUCCACGUGUAGCAGUGAAAUGCGUAGAUAUGUGGAGGAACACCGAUGGCGAAGGCAGCCCCUGGCUAACACUGACGCUCAUGCACGAAGCGUGGGAGCAAACAGG